UACGCAGGUGGCAAGCGUUGUCCGGAAUUAUUGGGCGUAAAGCGCGCGCAGGUGGUUUCUUAAGUCUGAUGUGAAAGCCCACGGCUCAACCGUGGAGGGUCAUUGGAAACUGGGGAACUUGAGUGCAGGAGAGAAGAGUGGAAUUCCACGUGUAGCGGUGAAAUGCGUAGAGAUGUGGAGGAACACCAGUGGCGAAGGCGACUCUUUGGCUGUAACUGACGCUGAGGAGCGAAAGCAUGGGGAGCGAACAGGAUU
rnacentral:rRNA from 1 species